rnacentral:rRNA from 1 species
UACGUAGGGUGCAAGCGUUAAUCGGAAUUACUGGGCGUAAAGCGUGCGCAGGCGGUUUUGUAAGUCUGUCGUGAAAGCCCCGGGCUCAACCUGGGAAUUGCGAUGGAGACUGCAAGGCUUGAAUCUGGCAGAGGGGGGGUAGAAUUCCACGUGUAGCAGUGAAAUGCGUAGAGAUGUGGAGGAACACCGAUGGCGAAGGCAGCCCCCCUGGGUCAAGAUUGACGCUCGAUGCACGAAAGCGUGGGGAGCAAACAGG